UACGUAGGGUGCAAGCGUUAAUCGGAAUUACUGGGCGUAAAGCGUGCGCGGCGGUUAUGUAAGACAGGUGUGAAAUCCCCGGGCUCAACCUGGGAACUGCAUCUGUGACUGCAUAGCUAGAGUACGGUAGAGGGGGAUGGAAUUCCGCGUGUAGCAGUGAAAUGCGUAGAUAUGCGGAGGAACACCGAUGGCGAAGGCAAUCCCCUGGACCUGUACUGACGCUCAUGCACGAAAGCGUGGGGAGCAAACAGG
rnacentral:rRNA from 1 species